ACGACUGCUAAACGCGAAGAACCUUACCUGGUCUUGACAUCCUAGGAAUCCCGAAGAGAUUUGGGAGUGCUCGCAAGAGAGCCAUAACACAGGUGCUGCAUGGCUGUCGUCAGCUCGUGUCGUGAGAUGUUGGGUUAAGUCCCGCAACGAGCGCAACCCUUGCCAUCAGUUGCUACGAAAGGGCACUCUGAUGGGACUGCCGGUGACAAACCGGAGGAAGGUGGGGAUGACGUCAAGUCCUCAUGGCCCUUAUAGGUGGGGCUACACACGUCAUACAAUGGCUGGUACAAAGGGUUGCCAACCCGCGAGGGGGAGCCAAUCCCACAAAGCCAGUCGUAGUCCGGAUUGCAGGCUGCAACUCGCCUGCAUGAAGUCGGAAUCGCUAGUAAUCGUGGAUCAGCAUGUCACGGUGAAUACGUUCCCGGGUCUUGUACACACCG
rnacentral:rRNA from 1 species